rnacentral:rRNA from 1 species
CUACGGGGCGCUGCAGUGGGGAAUUUUGGACAAUGGGGGCAACCCUGAUCCAGCCAUGCCGCGUGAGUGAAGAAGGCCUUCGGGUUGUAAAGCUCUUUCAGCCGGGAAGAAAUCGCAUGGGUUAAUACCCUGUGCGGAUGACGGUACCGGAAUAAGAAGCACCGGCUAACUACGUGCCAGCAGCCGCGGUAAUACGUAGGGUGCGAGCGUUAAUCGGAAUUACUGGGCGUAAAGCGUGCGCAGGCGGAUGCUUAAGUCAGAUGUGAAAUCCCCGGGCUUAACCUGGGAAUUGCAUUUGAAACUGGGUGUCUAGAGUGCGUCAGAGGGGGGUGGAAUUCCACGUGUAGCAGUGAAAUGCGUAGAUAUGUGGAGGAACACCAAUGGCGAAGGCAGCCCCCUGGGAUGACACUGACGCUCAUGCACGAAAGCGUGGGGAGCAAACAGGAUUAGAUACCCGAGUAGUC